GCCCAAAGUCCAGAUCAAGCUCUUCUCCCAGGCUUUGGAGGCUCCUACUAUGAUGCCAUUAACAAGAACCUGUAUGUGCAUGCAGCAAGGCUGGAGGAUGCUGGGGAGUUUAUUGCUGUCCUGCUGAACACUGUGGCAUGGAUUGCAGCAGGUUGUCCCUCAGCUGGUACUGCUCAUUCCUGCUUUAUGAUGGAGCUCAACAGAGCUAUUGUGAUUCUUGCCAAUGCCUUUUUCCAGGUUUCAUGGGGGAUAGCAGACAAGGGAGUCUAGACUGCAAAAGUACCAGAGUCUUCAUCUGCAAGAGGGGAUCUUAGACAGGAUGGGAAAUUCACAGAGAAGUGACUAUGACAGGAAUUCAGACCCCUCUUCUGUUAAGCUGAAGGUUACACAACUGGAGGAGAGGCUGGAUGAACUAAACAAAGCAUUUGUUGAAUUGACAGUACAGGCCAUGGGUCUGCAAGAAGAUGGAGAUCUGUUGGAGAAAGAGCUGAGAACACAGGAGGAGUCACUUGUGACUGCAAGCAACAAAGAAACGUGGGGAGCUCAGCAGUAUUCUGAAAUGUUAGAUUCUUGGGUCACAAAGAGGGAUGAAGCCUUGCUGCUGGAAAUAGAGAGGAACUGGAUUGUUCAGAAGAUUGAAGAGAUGGAAACACAGCUGUUGCAUCUUAGAAGUAAAGCAGCCAGCAGUUCACCUCCUUGAGGAACCUAAAAGGCAAUGGUUACAGCAUGGAUGUGUAUGUAAUUAGAGAUGCACAUGAUCAAUUAUAUUGUGGAUAAUUCAUAUUUGUUGUGGUUCUUUUUUAGUUGAUUGAAGUAUAUUCAUGCUCAGCUAUCAGUAAUGUGUAGGCAUGAGAGAUAAGCUGAGGUUCUUAAUAUCCUUCACUAAUUUUAGAGUUUCUGUUGGUAAGUCAGGAAAGCAGAAAUGAUGUGAGGCCAUUAAUGGCCCCCACUUAACAAUGUGUUCUGCAUAGCCUCUUCCACAUCUGACAUCAAGGGUGUUUUUGAGGAUCUUUUAGAUACAGUUUAGAGCCUUACUUCUAAGCCUUGCCCAGCAACUCUACACUGCUAUGCAUGUUUUCAGUGUAAUCUUAUUGAUCUCAAUAAGGUGUGAUUUGGGAGCAAAGAGUACACUUAAAUUAUUCCCUGUAGUGAUGACUGCAGCAAUUUGUGUAGCUUCUGGUGUAGCUUCCUGCUCCAUCUCUUUCUGCACAGCAUUCCUUAGUUCCAGGUGAAAUAGAAUAACAUAAAAUUGCUUGACUGUGAGCCAGUACGAAGCCUGGGCAAAACCACACAGGUAGGCUUCAGCCAGCUGUUUCCAACAACAAAGCCAGUUCUCUUUUCAUUCUGCAGUAUUUACUGAAUUGCUGAUGUGUGAAAAAAAUUGUGUACCUGCUCCUUCCUGGUUCCUAAACACAAAUUUGUCCUUACUCAUUCUCCCUUAGCAGAGUGUAUUAAUUAGAGGAUGAGACUUCAGUGCCAAGGAGCCCAGACAGAAGCCCUCAACUCUGGUCCCACUUACUGGGGUCUCUGGUGGAUCCAGAGGAACUUCAUGUUCUUUUGCCCUCAUCUGAUUGUGCUGAUUACAUGUUUUCUGAGCUUGCUCCCAGAUGCAGAAGGUUUGUUUUGGUUCCUUUGCAACCUCACCUUGGGAAAAUUCGAUUAUUUGCUGGCACUUUGAAGGGCCUUUAAGGAAAUGAGAGGGUUUAUGGAAGCCAAAUAUACCUAUUGGCAAGCACUAUGAAACAGUGGGAUUUUUUUUCCUAGAUUACAGCAGUGAAAAGGCUGCCAUUGCUCUCCUUAUUGCUUUCGUCUUUUAGGUUAUCAGCAGAUACUUUUACAGCAGUACUACCUGCAGGUAAGCAUCUUCAGACACUGCUGUCUCUGUAACAUCCACAGGAAAACAUUUAGGUGGUAAAGUUACCUCUGUGUGCUCUGUGUGUUGUAUUUUUAAGGCAGACUGGGAGGCGUUAGCAAAUAAAAUGUGUCAGUUUUUCA
rnacentral:lncRNA from 1 species